CAGGACACUAUGGCUCCUCUGGAAAUGUGGUACAGAAAGGAAGCAAGAAGAGGUAUCUGCUGAUGUUACGGAGUUGGAGGAGCUUUUCAUACUGUGAUUACUCUAUUGGACAUCCUUAUACGG
rnacentral:rRNA from 1 species